rnacentral:rRNA from 1 species
CCCUUCAGUUGAGGCGGGUGGACCUCUCGGGGUACAGCCUUGCUGAAUUAUUCACCCUUGUCUUUUGCGUACUUCUUGUUUCCUUGGUGGGUUCGCCCACCACUAGGACAAACAUAAACCUUUUGUAAUUGCAAUCAGCGUCAGUAACAAAUUAAUAAUUACAACUUUCAACAACGGAUCUCUUGGUUCUGGCAUCGAUGAAGAACGCAGCGAAAUGCGAUAAGUAGUGUGAAUUGCAGAAUUCAGUGAAUCAUCGAAUCUUUGAACGCACAUUGCGCCCUUUGGUAUUCCAAAGGGCAUGCCUGUUCGAGCGUCAUUUGUACCCUCAAGCUUUGCUUGGUGUUGGGCGUCUUGUCUCUAGCUUUGCUGGAGACUCGCCUUAAAGUAAUUGGCAGCCGGCCUACUGGUUUCGGAGCGCAGCACAAGUCGCACUCUCUAUCAGCAAAGGUCUAGCAUCCAUUAAGCCUUUUUUUCAACUUUUGACCUCGGAUCAGGUAGGGAUACCCGCUGAACUUAAGCAUAUCAAUAAGCGGAGGAA